rnacentral:lncRNA from 1 species
CCUUCUUCCUGCCACCAGUUCUGUCUCUAAAAUAUAGAACUGAUUGUCACUGUUGCUCAAAAAAUAUUUUUAUCUACUUCUUCCCUUUCAGGGAACAGAAUCCAAAAAUUUCCCAGCUGCCUCCCUCUCAGCUCUUUCCUGUUGGGCCCAGGAUUGUUCUUAUCACAGUCUCACUGGUUGACACGUCUUUCUCUUGCUCCUAAGAGGCAAUUUCGGACGUCCUGAUCUUUAGCAUGGAGCUCUGCACACCUAAGCAUGGUGGCUUGAAAAGGGAGAUGAAUGUCUGAAAUGAAAAUCUCAACUGAUUCAGAGAUAAAGAAUAUAAAAUCAGUACUUCUGGGAACGAGCCGCAUUAGUCUUCCUCUCUGCAGACCUACUUGCAUUCCAAGAAUAUUUUUCAUCUCUAUCAAAAGCAAGAGUCCUUUGGGCAUUAAAGAAGUUGUUGACAGUGAUAAAAAGCUGCAAAGUGAGAAAACCAAAACUAUUUUCCACAUCUCCCUAUUUCAUGGCUCCCUAGCCAAAAUACUUAAGGUACUCCAAUCACUAAAAUGUGCAGAUAUCUAUAUGUACGACAUCUAAAAGUCAAUGUCCCAAGGGAGAAUAAUGUAUCCACAUUGAAUCGUUACACUGAAGUGGAAAGCAAGAGUUUUGAAAUUCUAAGUCACAAUUGCCAUUAAUU